rnacentral:rRNA from 1 species
AUCCAGAGAACUUAGCAGAGAUGCUUGUGCCUUCGGAACUCUGAGACAGGUGCUGCAUGGCUGUCGUCAGCUCGUGUUGUGAAAUGUUGGUUAAGUCCGCAACGAGCGCAACCCUUAUCCUUUGUUGCCAGCGGUUCGGCCGGGAACUCAAAGGAGACUGCCGGUGAUAAACCGGAGGAAGGUGGGGAUGACGUCAAGUCAUCAUGGCCCUUACGGCCAGGGCUACACACGUGCUACAAUGGCGCAUACAAAGAGAAGCGACCUCGCGAGAGCAAGCGGACCUCAUAAAGUGCGUCGUAGUCCGGAUUGGAGUCUGCAACUCGACUCCAUGAAGUCGGAAUCGCUAGUAAUCGUAGAUCAGAAUGCUACGGUGAAUACGUUCCCGGGCCUUGUACACACCGCCCGUCACACCAUGGGGGUGGGUUGCAAAAGAAGUAGGUAGCUUAACCUUCGGGAGGGCGCUUACCACUUUGUGAUUCAUGACUGGGGUGAAGUCGUAACAAGGUAGGCGUAGCGAG